rnacentral:tRNA from 5 species
CGGGGUGUAGCUUAGCUUGGUAGAGCGCCUGGUUUGGGACCAGGAGGUCGCAGGUUCGAAUCCUGUCACCCCGACCA